rnacentral:rRNA from 1 species
CAGUCGCACGGUAAUACGUAGGUGGCAAGCGUUGUCCGGAAUUAUUGGGCGUAAAGGGCUCGCAGGCGGUUUCUUAAGUCUGAUGUGAAAGCCCCCGGCUCAACCGGGGAGGGUCAUUGGAAACUGGGAAACUUGAGUGCAGAAGAGGGGAGUGGAAUUCCACGUGUAGCGGUGAAAUGCGUAGAGAUGUGGAGGAACACCAGUGGCGAAGGCGACUCUCUGGUCUGUAACUGACGCUGAGGAGCGAAAGCGUGGGGGGCGAACAGGAUUAGAGACCCCCGUAGUCCCUGUCUCUUAUACA